AAUGAAUAAUUUGAGAAGAAAUGGAAAUAAGUUUACACUGUGUUCAACUGACAAUUCUUUCUCCCUGCAUUUAAAUUCGCCCGAGACAUCAGGAACUCCAUCCAAGUCCGAUAUGGAGACUGUGGAAGUGGACCAGCUUGAGUCAAUAAAGGUCAUUAAAUCCCUUCUCAAUGACUGAAGGUGGACAAAGGGAUCCGACAGUUCCUUUACUUUCCCCCUCGCUCUCGGAGACCACAGUGACGCUGACUCCAGAGCCUGUCCAGACAACAGUCACCAAAGAGGAUCAGAUUGUUACUUUGCUACCUGAAGAUGAGUCAGAGGAUCAAGACAAGUCCUCCAGGUCUACACUGCAGAAAGCAGAGCAGGAGAGUGUGAUGGCUCCUUGGGAUCAGCAGUGUUCAAGAUUGAAGGCAAAAAAGGGGAGAAUGUUUCUGUCUCCAGUUCUUAUUUCAAUCAGAAUACCUCCUGCAGAGGCGUUUUCCCAUUCCACUUCAGCUGAGGAAGAAGACCAAUAUGAAAUCUCGAGAAUCACAUUCGCAAUCAAACACUUUACACAAAACAGAGACCUCAGUCACGGUGAUGAUCUCAUCGUCCCAAACGCGGGUGCUCCCCACCUUUUCGUGUCCGCCAUCUUCAUCCGACCUCUAUGCUGAAAUCCCCGGCUCCACCGAUGCACCGAUCCAUGGCUCCAUCCAGAAGUCCAUCUUCAUGAGGCUAAACAACCGGAUCAAAAUCUGAAGGUGAACAUGUCACUCAGCGGGCGUUACCUGGAACAGCUCAGUCAACGGUGACUAUAGUUUUCAGUUUGUAUGUAUUUCCAUGCCUGACCACUAGAGGGAGAUUCACAGUUUACCAUUCAUGAUAAGUGACCUCUGUGACGUCACAGUGCGCCGCUCUCGAUCGAAUGCAGGCUAGAACGCUGAGCAUACGACAUGCAACCUUUCGAACAGCAGCUGCCAGAUAACAGCAAGAAUCUCCACACACAAUUAAAUCCCUAAACCCAGUGAAGUUUGAGUGUUUAGAAUCCUGUAUUGUGUUUUUACUGGAAGAGAACAAUAUUCUAAAUACAGAGGACAGCAGGUGCUCAUCUUCCAUUUACUUUUGGCAUAUAUUGAAUGCAGAUGGAGGAGAUGCAGAGGGCUUUCUAUAAAGCCAUCAUCAUACUCCAGAGCACCUUGUGGAUCAUUGAAGAGCAGGUCAGCACAAUUAAUAACUCAGUCUUUCUGUUCUUUUGCUCUAUAAUGUUUCUACACAAUAUUGACAAAAGUAUUGGGACACCUGACCUUCCCUGCCAUAUGUUGUGCUUGUGGACAUUUGUGUUCAUUCAGCAACAAGGGUGUUAGAAAACUCAGAUACUAAUGUAGAGGAGGUGAGGAGGUCUGGGGGUGCAGAGUUCGUGUUCUUGAUCAAACAGGUUCAAGCUCAAUAGCAGGAGAUCUUCCAAACCAUGGAGAGCAUGGAGCUGGCUUUGUGCACAGGGGCAUUGUCAUGCUGGAACAGGUUUGGGUCUCCAAGUUCAAGUGAGGGAAAAGUUGUUACAACAUCCAAUACGAUUGUGUGCCUCCGAAUUUGUGGUAACAGUUUGGAGAUGAACCACAUAUGGCUGGAAAAGUCAGGCGUUCCAAUACUUUUGUCCAUAUAUAGUAUGUGAUACACAAUGUAUGGAACAGUUCAGCUCUCAAAUCAGAGGAUAUUUUGCUGAUCAGAUUGAGUUUGACCUUGUGAAUCUAAUCUUUUCUUUUCUUUUUGUAGUGUAAGAAAAUGCGAGUCCAUACAGGUUCUGCAGAAACAGAUGGAGAAACUGUCACUGCAAGUCAGCAAUCUACAGAGAGAGGUUUCGGUCCUCCAAAUCUACGUGCUACUCUCUGUGGUCCUCAUCAUCCUCAGCAUCCUCAUCAUCAUCUAUCUCCAUUACUGUUUCAUGUUGGAUUCAAAUCUCUCAUCAGAAUCUGAAACAUCCAUCCCAAAAUCCUACAGCUGCAGGGAUUCCCUGAGAAUGAGGACGUGAACCCAAAGCGGAGAGCGUCUUAUCCUUUUUCACACUCGGCCAUGCAGAUUGCGACUACUGAAGGUCCAAGUAAAGCAUAUAAUGUAGAAACUCGAAAUAAUUCAACCGGGAGUAAAAAGAAAAAGCACUGUAAAUUGAAAUCCAGCACAAAGCCUGAGACGAUCACUCCCACAUUACUCUCCACAGUCAUCACAAUCUGGAUGCCUCCUCAUAGCACCGCUUCUACUCCCUUCUCUUUCAGAGACUCUCCACCAGAGGGAAGCUCUGAAGACUCUUCACAGUCAGACAAGCCUUCGACUAAAACUAACUAAUAAUCAUGACUCAAACAUGAUCAUAAUAUUGUCCUAUUAAACUGCUCUUUUUACUGGGAUUGAAUCGAAUGUGAGUCAAUCCAAGCAGAUUGUUCAUUAAUUGCACAAAUAAAAGUUAAUCAGAAACUGUUUUA